rnacentral:rRNA from 2 species
UGGCGGCGUGCCUAAUACAUGCAAGUCGAACGAGUUCUCGUUGAUGAUCGGUGCUUGCACCGAGAUUCAACAUGGAACGAGUGGCGGACGGGUGAGUAACACGUGGGUAACCUGCCCUUAAGUGGGGGAUAACAUUUGGAAACAGAUGCUAAUACCGCAUAGAUCCAAGAACCGCAUGGUUCUUGGCUGAAAGAUGGCGUAAGCUAUCGCUUUUGGAUGGACCCGCGGCGUAUUAGCUAGUUGGUGAGGUAAUGGCUCACCAAGGCGAUGAUACGUAGCCGAACUGAGAGGUUGAUCGGCCACAUUGGGACUGAGACACGGCCCAAACUCCUACGGGAGGCAGCAGUAGGGAAUCUUCCACAAUGGACGCAAGUCUGAUGGAGCAACGCCGCGUGAGUGAAGAAGGCUUUCGGGUCGUAAAACUCUGUUGUUGGAGAAGAAUGGUCGGCAGAGUAACUGUUGUCGGCGUGACGGUAUCCAACCAGAAAGCCACGGCUAACUACGUGCCAGCAGCCGCGGUAAUACGUAGGUGGCAAGCGUUAUCCGGAUUUAUUGGGCGUAAAGCGAGCGCAGGCGGUUUUUUAAGUCUGAUGUGAAAGCCCUCGGCUUAACCGAGGAAGCGCAUCGGAAACUGGGAAACUUGAGUGCAGAAGAGGACAGUGGAACUCCAUGUGUAGCGGUGAAAUGCGUAGAUAUAUGGAAGAACACCAGUGGCGAAGGCGGCUGUCUGGUCUGUAACUGACGCUGAGGCUCGAAAGCAUGGGUAGCGAACAGGAUUAGAUACCCUGGUAGUCCAUGCCGUAAACGAUGAAUGCUAGGUGUUGGAGGGUUUCCGCCCUUCAGUGCCGCAGCUAACGCAUUAAGCAUUCCGCCUGGGGAGUACGACCGCAAGGUUGAAACUCAAAGGAAUUGACGGGGGCCCGCACAAGCGGUGGAGCAUGUGGUUUAAUUCGAAGCAACGCGAAGAACCUUACCAGGUCUUGACAUCUUUUGAUCACCUGAGAGAUCAGGUUUCCCCUUCGGGGGCAAAAUGACAGGUGGUGCAUGGUUGUCGUCAGCUCGUGUCGUGAGAUGUUGGGUUAAGUCCCGCAACGAGCGCAACCCUUAUGACUAGUUGCCAGCAUUUAGUUGGGCACU